GAUGAACGCUGGCGGCGUGCCUAAUACAUGCCAGUCGAGCGAACAGACGAGGAGCUUGCUCCUCUGACGUUAGCGGCGGACGGGUGAGUAACACGUGGAUAACCUACCUAUAAGACUGGGAUAACUUCGGGAAACCGGAGCUAAUACCGGAUAAUAUAUUGAACCGCAUGGUUCAAUAGUGAAAGACGGUUUUGCUGUCACUUAUAGAUGGAUCCGCGCCGCAUUAGCUAGUUGGUAAGGUAACGGCUUACCAAGGCAACGAUGCGUAGCCGACCUGAGAGGGUGAUCGGCCACACUGGAACUGAGACACGGUCCAGACUCCUACGGGAGGCAGCAGUAGGGAAUCUUCCGCAAUGGGCGAAAGCCUGACGGAGCAACGCCGCGUGAGUGAUGAAGGUCUUCGGAUCGUAAAACUCUGUUAUUAGGGAAGAACAAAUGUGUAAGUAACUAUGCACGUCUUGACGGUACCUAAUCAGAAAGCCCCGGCUAACUACGUG
rnacentral:rRNA from 1 species